GAGUGCGAUCAUACUAGUAGUAAUGCACUAAAUGCCAUCAGAAUUUAGGAGUUAAGCUUACUUGAAUGAGAGUAGUAAUAGGAUGGAUAUAUAUCAUUCUUGGAAGGCCUCGUGUUGCACCCA
rnacentral:rRNA from 1 species